GCCAGUGUGGUGCAGUGGUUUGACCAUUAGACUACGGCUCUGGAGAACAGGGUUUAAAUCCCUGCUCAGCCA